rnacentral:lncRNA from 1 species
ACCUAAUUACGAAAUGCCGGCGUGUUACAUUUUCAACAUUUGACAUAACCCUGUAUGUUUUGUAGGGACAACCCAGGAUGUGUAUUUCUCAGCACCCAGUCAACUGCCAGAAGUGACUCAUACACAGGCCACCAGUGGCACUCAGCUGUACCACUGCACUGCUGCUGAAAUUGCCAGCACCAGCGGCUUUGUAACAGCUGUUUCACAGCAUCUCGGAGACAAUGCCUACGAAAUUAUUGGCCCUGAUGACGAGAGCCCUCAAGGGGCAAACGACAUCUCUGUUGCAGAAGUGAGCCCGAUACCACCUUAAGUUACCUUGACAGAUGACACGGCUGCAAUAGAUACAGAGACUGCCGUGUCUACUGCAGCUGCAACAGUGUACGAGGCAAGCAGCAGCACGUCAGCAUCAGCAGUAGUGUCAGAAGGAACCGAACCAGGCCUGGUAGGGCAACAUGUGUGCU